GAUGAACGCUGGCGGCGUGCCUAAUACAUGCAAGUCGAGCGAACGGACGAGAAGCUUGCUUCUCUGAUGUUAGCGGCGGACGGGUGAGUAACACGUGGAUAACCUACCUAUAAGACUGGGAUAACUUCGGGAAACCGGAGCUAAUACCGGAUAAUAUUUUGAACCGCAUGGUUCAAAAGUGAAAGACGGUCUUGCUGUCACUUAUAGAUGGAUCCGCGCUGCAUUAGCUAGUUGGUAAGGUAACGGCUUACCAAGGCAACGAUGCAUAGCCGACCUGAGAGGGGGACGGGCCACAGGGGAACUGAGACACGGCCCAGACUCCAAGGGGGGGAAGCGGUAGGGAACCUUCCGCAAUGGGGGAAAGCCUGAGGGAGCAACGCGGGGUGGGGGAUGAAGGGUUUCGGAUCGUAAAACUCUUUUAUUAGGGAAAAACAUAUGUGUAAGUAACUGUGCCCAUCCGAACGGUACCAAAUCAAAAAGCCCCGGCUAACUACGG
rnacentral:rRNA from 1 species